AGGAUGCCCCUGGUAUAGGAUGGUCAUCCAAUGGAGAUAGGCCUGUUUGAUUUUGGUUUUCUUAUUGUCUUCCUGCAGCUAUCAAUUUCAGAAGAGAGAAGAGGAGGAAGGAGACAGAGUCUGGUGAGAGAGCACCAAAGAAUAUCUCCUCACUUCACACUCUGGAACGUGAAAUCAUUCUGCUCACCUGCCGUAUUGACUCACCUGUUUGUCAUCCAUCUGCCUCCUCUGAAAUGUCUGCUCCUGGAGCGAUGUGACAGUGUCUCUCUGCUCCUCGCAGUCCCCUGAGUCUGGAAUACUUCCGGGUACACGCACACGUGAAAGAGGGAAAACAAAGCAGUCUGAAGAGCAGGAUCCAAGGACAGCUGUGUCCACGUAUAUGAAGCAUGAAUUCAGAACACCUCACUUCAUCUCUACGCAUAGUCGCUUUGGAAGAAACAGAACUGAAGUGUGCAGGAGGUUGAAUGACAUGACUAACACCCGUGAUCAGUAAGUGGUACAGCAAACCUCGUAUCUCCAGCCUCUGACCUUAAAGCUUGUAUUUUUCCCAAGACUCUUCUCAGAAUUUUUUCAGUUAGGUUUUUUUAGAGGAGCGCUCUGUUCACACGGUUGGAAAGGCGAACAGCUCUCCAUGGUGAACAUGAAACCCCAAACCAAACUCUGAUAGAAAUUCCUAUAUAUUCUACUCUGAUCCAAGUUGGCCCACACUAAAAUUGUAAAUUCUGCAUUGGAUGAUUUCAUUGAUGGAUACCCCUCUCCAUUCCCCCAUUUGAAGCACUGUUCCCCCACAUGCAGAAUCACCUGGACCCUGUGACUACCACCAACAGAUCUCAGCUCUCUGGGAUCUUGUUUCCAGCCUGUUGACUUUCUGGAUCCAGUUAUUUUCUUUCUUCGUCCCCACAACCUACCUCCUUGGGACCUUUUUCUACUAGAUGAGAAAGUUAUGAGCCUAACAACCCAAGGCUACUUGGACAGUGGCCCUGCAGACAUUCCUCAUGCAGAUGUAUGCCUGCUAUAGUGAAGAAUUCAGGCACGUGAGCAGAAGAGUGGAGAAACCUUGUAGGAGGACUGAAGAUCUUAGAAUGCUCCAAUAACCACUCCUCUAGUUUGGACAGAAUAUGGCUGAUCCUGGGCCAGCCACAUAUGUGUGUCAUGCCCUUAUCUCACAUUCGUCAAAUGUUAAUCAGGAAGUUGUUCUGAUGUGUGGGGAGCAACUGGGAGCAACUCGGACUAGACUAAGUUACUGGAAUUAAGACUUAUUCUAUGCAUCUGCUCUCCCACAAUAUGGCGCUGGGAGAGGAGAAACAGCUUCUACACAGCUGCCUCCAGUUCAACCAAUAAACUGUAGGACCUACUCCUGAUUGGAGGAGAGCAGCGUACUUGGCGUGUGGGCAGCCGAGUUGGGAUUGGUGGAGGAGGACUAUAAAGGAGGAGAGACAACAUGCACCAGGAACAUCUAAGGGGAACAUCUAUCUGAAGGAACACCUGUGCAGCCCCCGAGAGAGCCGGCCGGCGGUGUGCCGCUCCCCUGCGGAAGUGGGGAAAGUGGCAGGGGGAACCGCCCUUCCACGGAGGUGGAAGGGACAGUAGCCAACCCGGGAAGAACCGGCAGCAAACCCGGGGAGGGCCGAGCAGACGAAAGAACAGCGCAGGGUCCUGUGUCGUUCCUCCACAAAGAGGGGGAGCGACAUAAUGGUGCCGUGACUCGGAUAUGAAGCCUAGGCAGGGCUUAGUGUCGUUCCUCCAUGAAGAGGGGGAGCGACACUGAUGAGAGAUUUCAGGUUAUAAAUAAUACAAAUGGACUAAAGCUAGUAUAAGGGAACAAAAGAGGAGCUAAAUAUCUGGAGGUAAGAAUUCAAGUAUAAUCUGAGAAAAAGUCAAUCAAUCAGGUCUCAGGGAGAGGGUAACAAGGGCCAUACUAGGGAUGCAGUAGUAGGAUUUCAAAAACUUGUUAAUGUGCCUUCCUCUUUGUCUUCGUCCAUUCAAGCUUCUAAUAAAAAUAUCUUAGACUGGGUAAUAUAUAAACAAUAAAAAUUUAUUUCCCACAUUUCUAUGUUCCAAAAGGGAUAAACAAGCUCCCUUAAAGGUACUAAUUCCAUUCAUGAGGGCUCUGCUUCCAAAGUUCCCACCUCUUAGUACACAUGCAUAAGGUUUCAACACGUGAACUCUGGGAGGACACACACAUUUCGACUAUAGCAGCCCCCAGUACUAAGACAUUGUAACUCUCAUCCCAAAGUAUUGAAAGAAGGAGCCUUAUCCAGGCAUCCCCCUUGAUCCAGUUGGCUCCAGCCUGUCAGGAGGUUUAAACGCAGCCUGGCACAGGGGAGGGACUCAUCUUCAGAGAGAGCUGUGUAGCAUGUGAGACUGUGGAGACCACUAUGAGUCUGCUCUCCUCAUCUUACAGGAGUUGCAGUCGGGCACAGAAGGGUAAGGUGAUUGCCCCAAGAUCCAGGGCGGGCAGUAGAAGAGCAGGCCUCCUGCUGCUCCUGACACAGAGCUCUUUGAUCUUCCUGUCACUCGUCCUUGCACGUGUUUCACGACCUCAGUCUAUCUUCCCUCCCUUGCUCACCACUACCAACACAGCAGUCUUCCAAUAGCCCAAAUGCGAUCAUGACAGUGAUCAGAGAAAUGGCUGUGGAGCACUUGCAAUCCAGAUUCCUCAGCACUGCAGGCCAAGCCCUUUCAGCCCUGCCUCUUAGAGAGUGUCCUCAUGUGCCAGAGCUGCCAUGGCACAACACCACAGACUGGGUGACUCAGCCAGCAGAAGCUGAUUUCACACAGCUGAGGAGAUGGGGAAGUUCCAGAACAAGACACCAGCAAAGUCAGUUUCCUUUGGACACCUCUUCUCUUCGCUUACAGGGAACUACUGUCUCACUGCAUGCUCACAUGAUCUCUUCUCUCCCACCAUGGGACUCUGGUUUCUUCUUCUUACAAGCACACUAGCCCUAUUGAAUUAGGACCCCAUUCCUAUAACUUUAUUUAACCUUAAUUAUCUCCAUUUUAGGCCCUACCUCCAAACAGAGUCACACUGGGGAUUGAAGCCUCAACAUACUACGUUUUUUUUUUUUUUCUGGGGAAGGGAGACAUAAUUCAGUCCAUAACAUGGAGCUUUCCCCAUUCUGCAACACAAUCUCUGCUCCUGUUCCCUAUACACGUUGUCACUCUAUACACAGGUCAUGGCCUUCAGGGUCCCCUCCCCUCCAAUCUUUCUCCUCUGCCUUUACUGUAAUUCUCAACCCAACUGCUUUACACACAGGCCUCCUGGAUGGUCCUUCUCUGAGUUAGAUGUGUCCCACAUGCUCCUUUCUGUCUGCCAUGUGUAGAUGGUACACAUGUGUCCUGUGUAGCAGUCACAUGUGUAUCAUUGCAUUUGCCAUGUUCUAUUUCAAUCAAUUCAUCCAUGCAUUAGUCUCUACAAUCAGAAUUCUGGGAGGGCAAGAAAUACCUUACUGAUUUUACUGCUGUUUCUCUAUUGCUUGCCCAGAAUUUGGCACAUGGUAGGUACUCAAAAAAUGUCGGUUGGAUAAAUAAAUAGGCAGCAUUUACAGAAAGGAAAGACUGGUUAUCAUUUUCUUUGUCUCCAUUUCAUCACCAUCUACACAAGGAAGUUUUUCAUGUACCAAGUAAGUUUAUGUGUAUCAGAAAUUAAAGGGGGAGAAGUAAAGAGUAGGAAUUAAAAUACUUUUCUAAAAUGAUAAGGAAAGUAUAACUUUGCUUACUCACUAAUGACAUUGGGGAGACCCACUUCAGAUUAUAGGAUUUUGCACAGUGGAUCCCUGGUGCACAAACAAGAGAUGAAUUUAUCAUCUUCUUUCAUGUUGCUCUCUAAUUUUGCUACCAGGCUAAGCAUAAACUGCAAUGGAAGACCCCAUGAAACACCCUGAUAAGCAGAUGAGAAACAAACAUGAUAAAAUACAAGAGUAGCAGGCUAUAAGAGUCAUUUUUUCAUUCAUUUUGACAAGGGUAAUGUAGUUUUAAUUACUAAUGAUAAUAUAUAUGGCUGCUAGUAAGUGUCUUGUGGUAUGUUUUGCAGACCUUUCAUUUUACAAUACCAUAGUACUCCUGAAUUUGUUCAUUAAACCUUUGUUACAAACCAAGAGGUUACUGGCUGUCAGGGGAAAAUAAGCAAGUUUGUGAACUAACAGAAAGACAUUAAUAACCUCCUACUGUAGCAAUCAUAUACUUUGAAAAUUAGAGAGCAAGAUGAAGUCAUAUUUUAAGAUAUUUUUAUUUAGUUGGAAAAUUGUAUCAAAAUAAGUUGAUAAGUUGAAUAAAUUAAUAAGUAUUUAAAAUUGUUUCAAAGUGAUUGAAUAAUUGAUUAAAACCUAGUUUAAUUUUCAACAUCCAAGAAGUAUAUAAAAUAUA